GGGGUGACACAGUGAAAGAGUGAGGAAGGGGGUGACACAGUGACAGAGUGAGGGAGGGGGUGACUAGUGACAGAGUGAAGGAGGUGGUGACUGUCACUAAUCACCACCUCCCUCACUCUGUCAUAGUCACCCCUUCCCUCCCUCACUGUCACUAGUCACCCCCUCCCUCUCUCUGUCACUAGUCACCCCUCCCUCUCUCUGUCACUGGUCACACCCUUCCUCACUCUGUCACUAAUCACACCC